GGCCCCAUGGUGAAGCGGUUAACACACCAGCCUUUCACGCUGGUGACGCGGGUUCGAAUCCCGCUGGGGUCACCA
rnacentral:tRNA from 2 species